GCCGGGAGUACAUACAGAGGCUGAGUGCAGAGAGAAGCCAGAACCCCUUCCACCGCCAACUGGAGGGUGACCCUCGUCCUUCCUUCAGUGUGAGAAGGGAGUACGAUCAGCAGCUGAAAGAGAGGCUGAAAGGGAAGGACAGGUGCCAAAGCCUCGCAGGGCAGACAGCACCAGGGGACUGGCAGAAGAAGCUGCAGCUCACAGGGACAUCACGGGAACAGAAUAGAGAGAAGACGAGGCUUUUGGACCGCCGUGGGAAGGCCCAGAGCUGCCAGGCGGCUUCUGGCUGCAGCGGCCGUAGCCAUCACGGCCUGCACCAAAACUCCCCUUCAGGCACCAGCAACUGCACCCAGGCGCACUCAGGCAGAGCCUCCCACCGCCGCACGCUGCCAUCUUUGUAGGGGGAGAGCUAUCAGCAGUGGGGCCAAGGGGCACCUUUCCAAAAGUAACAUCUUCAAUCAAGCUUUCCAAAAGUAACAUCUUCAAUCAAGCUUUCCAAAAGUAACAUCUUCAAUCAAGCUUUCCGAAAGUAACAUCUUCCAUCAAAAUUUCCAAAAGGAACUUAAUAUCUUCCAUCAAUCUUUCCCAAAUUAUCAUCUUCCAUCAAAUAAAGAAAAAUUCACCCCAUACAUAGUGUUUGCCUUAUGUGGUUGCUUUGCGCCCACAAACUUCAUUGCCUCAGCAGUUGCUUCAGAGUCUCAGCAAAGCAGCAUUCUGCUUAGGGAAGGUUGUUAUUCCUAGAUAAGUGGGACAUCUGAAGCCUUAAAGCAGUCCGAACAUUCCAUAAUCCACGGGGAG